rnacentral:lncRNA from 1 species
UCCUGCAUUUCCUGUGUUACGGGGGGGGAAAAAGGUGUUUAUGUACAGCAAGAACUGAUGAACUCAGGGCUGAAGAGCAUUUUGUUCUCUGUGGCAGCUCUAUCCCUUUCCUUAGGGGAGAUCUAUGUUAGAAACAAAAAUGUCAUAGGGGAAGGUUGUGAAUUCUAAAUGAACUGUGGGGACCUCACGAACCUCUUCAGCUUAGUGGUUUCCAGGAAGCCCCAGGCUGAGCCAAACUUUGUGACUUAGCUGGUGGUUCAAUGCAAAGACAGAAUCCAAUCCUC